CUCCGCCGCGCCCCGGCCGCGGCGUCCGGCCCGGGUUCCGCGCCGCUAGGGCGCGGGCGGGGUCGGGGGUUGCGUGGCCGGCGCUGCUCGCCCGCCUCGAGUCCGCGUCCCGGGCCCUGGCGGCCGGCGAGCAUGGAGGAGAAGUACCUGCCGGAGCUGAUGGCGGAGAAGGACUCCCUGGACCCCUCCUUCACGCACGCCCUGCGGCUGGUGAACCAAGAAAUAGAAAAGUUUCACAAAGGAGAAGGCAAGGACGAAGAAAAGUACAUUGAUGUGGUGAUUAAUAAGAACAUGAAGCUGGGACAGAAAGUGUUGAUUCCUGUAAAACAGUUCCCUAAGUUCAACUUUGUGGGAAAACUUUUGGGGCCACGUGGCAAUUCUCUGAAGCGCUUGCAAGAAGAAACCUUGACAAAAAUGUCCAUCCUUGGAAAAGGCUCCAUGAGAGACAAGGCAAAGGAAGAAGAGUUGAGGAAAAGUGGAGAAGCAAAGUACUUCCACCUCAAUGAUGAUCUCCAUGUUCUGAUUGAAGUGUUUGCCCCGCCAGCAGAAGCCUAUGCCCGUAUGGGACAUGCUCUGGAGGAAAUCAAAAAGUUCCUCAUUCCGGACUAUAAUGAUGAAAUCAGGCAAGCACAGCUCCAGGAAUUAACAUAUUUGAAUGGUGGUUCAGAAAAUGCAGAUGUACCAGUUGUUCGAGGGAAACCUACCUUGCGUACAAGAGGUGUACCAACCCCAGCAAUAACCAGGGGGAGGGGAGGAGUCGCGGCCCGGCCAGUGGGAGUCGGGGUACCGCGAGGGACGCCGACUUCCAGAGGAAUCCUUUCCACCCGAGGGCCAGUGAGUCGAGGAAGAGGACUUCUCACUCCCAGAGCAAGAGGCGUCCCCCCAACUGGGUACAGACCUCCACCGCCGCCCCCGACACAAGAGACCUAUGGAGAUUAUGACUAUGAUGAUGGAUAUGGCGCUGCUUAUGAUGAACAGAGUUAUGAUUCCUAUGAUAACAGCUAUAGCGCCCCAGCCCAAAGUGGUGCUGAUUACUAUGAUUAUGGACACGGACUCAGUGAAGAGACUUAUGAUUCCUACGGAAGUGUUGGCCAUCUUGGAAAGUGAAAGGAAGGUUGUGUCCGUCCAGCAGACACAGGUGAGGAAGCUGAGGCUCAGUGAAGUUACGGGGUUUGCCUGCGCCCCUGGAAACAGCUGAGAUCCAUCUUCGUUUAUGAAUCUGCCUCCCAGGAUCUGUUUGGUUCAUCCGUGGGCGCCCAGAGCCCAGCGCACGCCCAUCACAACAGCGGACAGUCACCGAGUACAUGCGGGGUAUCUACCAGCACCCUCCCUGCCCCCCGCUUAACUCACUUAAGCCUCAAGGAGCUAUCAAUCCCACUUUACAGAGAAGGAAACUGAGUCGUGGAGGUAACUGUCAAGGUCAUGCACUUGGUAGGUAUUGGGGCCAGGAUUUAGCCCCAGGCAGUGUGACCACAGGGCCCAAGCUCUUAACCACCAAGCCAUGCUUGUCAGAUGAAUACAGGAUCGUCUCCCCUUUCCCCUCUCCUGUCCUCACCUUCCCUUCCUCCUUCCCUCCCCUCCCUUCCCCUUGGGUACUCAGCUCCCUACAGGAGGCCUUUUUGUGAACCAGCAAAGGUGCCCUUCUGUUGGGCAGGUGCACCUCUCACCACAUGGUGCAUGGCUUGGGCAUUGGGGACUGGGGCCUGGGUUUCAGUUCUCUUCAAACUUUCCUUCAGGGCACAACACUGCCCCACCUCCCUCUGCUGUUAUCGACUGCUGACCCUCUGGUUUGGUGUCUCAUGCGUGGCUAUCUUCCAACCUCCCCCCCAGAUGGCUGUUGCUGACAUCUGUUAUUGCCCCCAUCCAUGGUGGCGUCGUGGGCAGGGAGGACCCACAACUUUCUCCCCAGUCCCAGAAUCCAGGCUGCAGUACAAGGGUGGCCCUAGCUGGGGACAGCAGGGAAUGGGGCAAGGAAGGCUUUAUGUUGAGAUUCUACACCAUUUAGUUUGGAAAAAAGAUCACACUUGCUUUUAAGUUCAGAUGUCAUCUUCGAGUCAGACAAUCAAACUGAACUCCUGACCAGCCCUUCUGCUAAACCUUUUUGAGAAUUAACAAAGGUUACCUGUUGCUCAAGCCUUUUCACUGCCCUUUGCUGAGAGUGUCCCAAACUGUGAUAACAAAAACAGCAUCCCUAGAGCCUAGAGCUGUGCAGUGCACAACCUGUGCAACUGUGUAUGGCAGCUCUGACCCUGACGAGUUGCAAUGUUUUUGAACCUUGUUAUCUUCACCCAUAAA